rnacentral:rRNA from 1 species
GACGAACGCUGGCGGCGUGCCUAACACAUGCAAGUCGAGCGGGGUUGAGGCGAGAGGUAACUCGAACUUCUACCUAGCGGCGGACGGGUGAGUAACGCGUGGGCAACCUGCCUCAAGGUUUGGGAUAACAGCCCGAAAGGGCUGCUAAUACCGGAUAUGCCUAUGGCCUCGCAUGGGGCUAUGAGCAAAGGGGAAACCCGCCUUGAGAUGGGCCCGCGUCCCAUCAGCUAGUUGGUGAGGUAACAGCUCACCAAGGCGACGACGGGUAGCCGGCCUGAGAGGGUGACCGGCCACACUGGGACUGAGACACGGCCCAGACUCCUACGGGGGGCAACAGUGGGGGAUCUUGCACAAUGGGCGAAAGCCUGAUGCAGCGACGCCGCGUGAGCGAAGAAGGCCUUCGGGUUGUAAAGCUCUGUCUGGAGGGACGGAACAAAAUAGUACGGUACCCGUUCCGGACGGGAAGCCGACGGGCCUAACUACGUCG